GGAGAUUAUAAAGUCAGCUCCUGAUUGAGAUCGAGGACAGCAGGCUUUGCAUGGUUUUGAUCGGCCCACCGAUGAUCGAGGCGCCUGUCCUGCAGCAGAAACGACGGGCUUCUGGAUUCUCUUGAAAAACGCCAAUCGGGUGUUUGUCGAAGCCUCGUUGUUGGAUUCAAGCCCUGACCCCGGCGAGCGGCGCUCUCGCCGGGCCGCAGCCUAUCGCUCCACCUCGGCCGUUCAGCUGCGAGGAUGUCAUCUUUCUUUUUUUAUCGCCCGCUCUCCCUCCUCCCUCCCUGUCUCUUUCUUCCUUUUCUUUUUUAAUUCCUCUUUCUUCUCCCCCUCCUCUCCUUUCCUCGCACCGCUAUGUCCCACUUGCACUUAAAGGGAUAGGGUUUCCUCUUUGGACACCCCCCUCUCAUUUCCGUCUCCCUCGGCGGAGCCCGUCCUCUCCCCUUCCUUCCUGGGAUUUUCGGCCGACACAAAAUGCGCUACAGUGUGUUGUUUUUUUUUUUUUCUUUCCUCCUCAGGCCAGCUGGAACAGAUCUGCACCGCAGAAAACAGCCAGAAUGACUUUCCAUUAACGGAGAGAUGACAGACGCAUCUUAAAGGGCAGUGCGCACAGAUCCUCCCAGUCAGCCCAUAAUCAUGAUGUCAGAGUCAGAUAUAGCACACCGGACGAAUAGCAGCUGUUUGCAUUGCAUAAAUACAGAUAACAAAAAACAUAUAUAUGAAUACAUUCACACAAAGGACAUAAUGUAUUGUUCUUAACACACACACACACACACACACAUAUAUAUAUAUAAAUCUCCAAGGAGUGAGAAUUUAUAAUAAACAAUAAAAUUAAACCUGAAACAAGAUGGAUUAAUCCAUUAGUGGAUGGAGCAAAAUUAACUGGCAGCCACUCUGAUGACCGAUUCGUCGUUUGAGCCAAUUUUAAGUUAAAAUCCCUCAAAAUUUACUAUUUCCAGUUUCUCAAAUGUGAAUCUUUGUUGAUUUUCCAUGAUUGUAAACUGAAUGUCUUUGGGGUUGUUUCACUAAUCCUGACCUCAGUCAGCAUUUACUGACACAUCUCAGCACCAGAAGACCAAUUGUUUUCCUGUUUUCCUACAAGAUGUCAUAUAUUACUACUAAAAUAACUGGCAGAUAAUCAAAACAAUCUAAACUAAUUUAACUAUUUUUUUCAUUUAUUGUUUGGUUGGUGAAAUUUCAGCGAAGAGUAAAAAAUAUAUAUAAAUUUUAAAAACUGACAUAUAUAGAUCAAAAACCCAAAGAUGUCCAGUGUAAUAUAAUAGAAGCCAAGAAAAGUUCACAUUCAAGAAACUGUAACAGGGAUUUAUUUUGCAUUUUUAUUUAAAAAAUGACUUAAAUGAUUGAUUAAGUUCUGUCAGUUGACUAACCAGUUUUCUGUUAGCUAAGACAAGUUGCAGCCUUGUAAUAAACAUCUUAAUAAUACUGUCAUUAAAGUACAUCAAAUCCA